CAGGUCACUCCUACGGGAGGCAGCAGUGGGGAAUAUUGGACAAUGGGGGCAACCCUGAUCCAGCAAUGCCGCGUGAGUGAUGAAGGCCUUCGGGUUGUAAAGCUCUUUUGCCAGGGACGAUGAUGACGGUACCUGGAGAAUAAGCCCCGGCUAACUUCGUGCCAGCAGCCGCGGUAAUACGUAGGGUGCGAGCGUUAAUCGGAAUUAUUGGGCGUAAAGGGCGCGUAGGCGGUGCGGUAAGUCUGUAGUGAAAUCUCCGGGCUCAACUCGGAAAUUGCUAUAGAAACUGCCGUGCUCGAGUGUGGGAGAGGUGAGUGGAAUUCCCGGUGUAGCGGUGAAAUGCGUAGAUAUCUGCAGGAACACCCGUGGCGAAAGCGGCGCGCUGGACCACAACUGACGCUGAAUGACGAAAGCUAGGGGAGCAAACAGGAUUAGAUACCCUGGUAGUCCUAGCCCUAAACGAUCAGGACUUGGGGUGCCACCCGUUCGGGUGUCGUCCCGGAGCUAACGCGUUAAGUCCUGCACCUGGGGAGUACGGUCGCAAGACUGAAACUCAAAGGAAUUGACG
rnacentral:rRNA from 1 species